rnacentral:pre_miRNA from 21 species
UGUCUCUCAAAGUGGCUGUGAAAUGGUGCACUUUCGAUCCGAUAUCUCAUAUCACAGCCAGCUUUGAUGAGCUAGG